UGCUUAUUUCUCCUUCUGAAUGGAACUGA
rnacentral:piRNA from 1 species